GGGGUUGUAGCUCAGUGGUAGAGCACUUGUCUAGCAUGUGUGAGGUACUGAGUUUGAUUCUCAGCAACCACA
rnacentral:tRNA from 1 species